CAGAGGGUGCAAACGUUGUUCGGAAUUACUGGGCGUAAAGCGCGUGUAGGCGGCCCUGCAAGUCGGGUGUGAAAUCCCACGGCUCAACCGUGGAAGUGCACUCGAAACUGCAGGGCUAGAGUCCUGGAGAGGAAGGUGGAAUGCUUGGUGUAGAGGUGAAAUUCGUAGAUAUCAAGCGGAACACCGGUGGCGAAGGCGGCCUUCUGGACAGUGACUGACGCUGAGACGCGAAAGCGUGGGGAGCAAACAGGAUUAGAUACCCUGGUAGUCCACGCCGUAAACGAUGAGUGCUAGGUGUCACGGGCUUUGACCCUCGUGGUGCCGAAGCUAACGCGUUAAGCACUCCGCCUGGGGAGUACGGUCGCAAGACUA
rnacentral:rRNA from 1 species